rnacentral:misc_RNA from 1 species
GACGAAGAACGCAGCGAAAUGCGAUACUUGGUGUGAAUUGCAGAAUCCCGUGAACCAUCGAGUCUUUGAACGCAAGUUGCGCCCGAAGCCAUUAGGCCGAGGGCACGCCUGCCUGGGCGUCACACGUCGUUGCCCCCCCAUCUACUCCUUUGGGAUUGCGGGGGGCGGAUGAUGGCCUCCCGUGCGCCUCGCCGCGCGGUUGGCAUAAAUGCCAAGUCCUCGGCGACGCACGCCACGACAAUCGGUGGUUGCGAAACCUCGGUUGCCCGUCGUGUGCGGUCGUCGCGCAUCGAGGGCUCGAAAAAAUUGCCGGGUUCCGGCUCGGCUUUCAACGCGACCCCAGGUCAGGCGGGGUUACCCGCUGAAUUUAAGCAUAUCAAUAAGCGGAGGA